GUGCUUGCUUGGGCAACACAUAUACUAAAUUGGGAUGAUACAGAGACGAUUAGCAUGGCCCCUGCACAAGGAUGACACAAAAUUCAUGAAGCAUUCCAUAGUUUU
ensembl:snRNA U6 U6 spliceosomal RNA